rnacentral:lncRNA from 1 species
UCUCUCUGGUUAUUUUCAACUUAGAGUUUCUUGUCUCCUGUGGUAUGAGCAAGAUCUCACCAGAUCCAACAAUGGCUUGGUCUGUAAUAGUGGUCGAGGCAAGUUCCAACAACCCGAGAACUAGGGUUUUACUUUCAUGUCUGAGGUAAACUCUACUUUGAAUCAACAGAUCUAGGGUUUAAUAUCUCAUGAGAAACCCUAAAUCAAAAAAGAGAAACCCUAAAUCACAAAAGGGGCUUGAAGGAAUUCCGAUCUGAAAUCGCUAUAGGGGGGCUACAAUCGAUUAAUAUUUUUGAGGUAGCUAAACCAGUCCGCCAACCAUAGCCUUUGCCUUGCUUUCAAGCUACUGGAGCCUCUAAAGGAAUAGUUUUCCAUCAUCUCAUGUGCUAAUUUACAUCAGUUGGUUGGUGUUGUUGCUGUUGAAAUUUUGAAGGCCCUGAUAUUAUCCGAGAAGGGAGGACAAAGACAGACGAGCUCCCAGUUGAAGGACUUCUUUUUGAUGAAAAUGAGGGAGAAUACAAUUUGAGGGAUGUAUAUUUAAAGACCAUGGGUCUUGAUGACAAAGACAUGGUGACACUAUCUGGUACAAGAAGCGAAGAUUUAUAAUGUGGAAAAAUAUAAGGAGUUAUGUACAAGAAACGAAUAUUUGAAUCUGGCAACUGCUGCAUCAACAACAAUAGUGGUUGGGGACUACAGAUCGGCGACAAUGAUGACUUGUGGUGGUGGUGCUUGACUUAGAACUGUGAAGAUGGUAGACACCGGGUGUAGAAUAGAGACCUGCAUGUGAGAUUAUUCCGUGAAGAGGCGACGGUGGUGACUACCGGCGAUGGAGAUGACCUCUGGUCACCAGACAAGUGACGAUUGUCAAUGGUAGCAGGUUGGGUUGUGAUUUUGGUAGUAGUGGGUGCUGAUCUAACAAGUUUGGAAUACAAGAGUUAAUAAAAAGAUGAAAUCUUGGACUUGACAGAAAGAUGUAAAGCUGCUUUGAAAUUAGUUAUUGGCUAUGACCAUGGUUUUUAAAAAAAAGGUUGAGGUGUGCUCCUUGAGGUGCGCCUCGAAGUGAGGUGCCCAAAAACGAGUCUUUGGCGGCGCUUCAAGGGGUUAGUUUGUAUGUGCCCCUCAUAGGGCUUAGGCGCUAAAAAAAGCUACACAUCAAGUGCAUCUUAGGGGUUUACCUGUUUGUUUUUUACAUCUCGGUUCACCUCGAGGCGUUUGCCUUGUGAGCGAAGGGAAAACGCCUUGAGAUUUUCUAUUUUAAACCUUGGCUAUGGCUAUGUGGUUUACUGAUUAAAGUUCAAUUUUUGCAAAAAGUUUGGUCGUAUAAGGGCACAUGAAAACCUUGUGUUGAUAUCUUUUAAUGGUUUAUCAAGAACUGGCAUUGAUGACCCGAGAUACGAUACUUGAGUUUGAUUUUAACGAAUAAUCAAGGUUUAGUUUCGUGGCCUCUUUGCAGCAAACAUGGUUGUUUGAAGUUGUUGUAGAGAUGGAGUUCCCGUUCGUGGUUUCAAGUUGCUAAUAUUUUGUUAUACGGUUGUGGACCAGCUCAAUGUGAAAGCAUAAAAGAGAUGCUGGAGUACUUUAGAAGUCAAGUUGGGUCUAAGGCUGGAGUACUUUAGAGAUGCUGGAGUACUUUAGAAGUCAAUUAAGGACAACCCUUAGGAUAGAAAAAAGGCCAAUGAGUAUUCAGGUUGAAUAUUUUUAAUUUGUUGUAUU